rnacentral:misc_RNA from 1 species
AUGCGAUAAGUAAUGUGAAUUGCAGAAUUCAGUGAAUCAUCGAAUCUUUGAACGCACAUUGCGCCCAUUAGUAUUCUAGUGGGCAUGCCUGUUCGAGCGUCAUUUCAACCCUUAAGCCUAGCUUAGUGUUGGGAGACUGCCUAACCGCAGCUCCUCAAAUACAGUUGGCAGAGUGUAUGUGUACUCUGAGCGUAGUAAUUUAUUCCUCGCUUCUGAAGACUAUAUACUGUAGCCACAAACCUAUUAAACUUUUAAUGGUUGACCUCGGAUCAGGUAGGAAUACCCGCUGAACUUAA